UGCUUCCUUGAGACCGGCGCACGGGUGCGUAACGCGUAUGCAAUCUACCUUAUACAGAGGGAUAGCCCAGAGAAAUUUGGAUUAAUACCUCAUAGUAUUAUGAAAUCGCAUGGUUUUAUAAUUAAAGUUCCAACGGUAUAAGAUGAGCAUGCGUCCCAUUAGUUAGUUGGUAAGGUAACGGCUUACCAAGACAAUGAUGGGUAGGGGUCCUGAGAGGGAGAUCCCCCACACUGGUACUGAGACACGGACCAGACUCCUACGGGAGGCAGCAGUGAGGAAUAUUGGUCAAUGGACGCAAGUCUGAACCAGCCAUGCCGCGUGCAGGAUGACGGUCCUAUGGAUUGUAAACUGCUUUUAUACAGGAAGAAACACUCCCUCGUGAGGGAGCUUGACGGUACUGUAGGAAUAAGGAUCGGCUAACUCCGUGCCAGCAGCCGCGGUAAUACGGAGGAUCCAAGCGUUAUCCGGAAUCAUUGGGUUUAAAGGGUCCGUAGGCGGUUUAAUAAGUCAGUGGUGAAAGCCUAUCGCUUAACGAUAGAACGGCCAUUGAUACUGUUAGACUUGAAUUAGUGGGAAGUAACUAGAAUAUGUAGUGUAGCGGUGAAAUGCUUAGAUAUUACAUGGAAUACCAAUUGCGAAGGCAGGUUACUAUCACUAUAUUGACGCUGAUGGACGAAAGCGUGGGGAGCGAACAGGAUUAGAUACCCUGGUAGUCCACGCCGUAAACGAUGGAUACUAGCUGUUCGGAGCAAUCUGAGUGGCUAAGCGAAAGUGAUAAGUAUCCCACCUGGGGGAGUACGUUCGCAAGAAUGAAACUCAAAGGAAUUGACGGGGGCCCGCACAAGCGGAGGAGCAUGUGGUUUAAUUCGAUGAUACGCGAGGAACCUUACCAGGGCUUAAAUGGGAGACGACAGGACUGG
rnacentral:rRNA from 1 species